AAAUCUUAGGCCUCAGGCAUUAAACGAUAGUGUGGUAGAGUUUCUUUGUUUGUCACAAGAUACUUAAAUUGAUAAAUUAUUAUGAACCACAUGUUUAAAUUUUGGGCUGGAACACAAGGCCUAGUAGACAUCACAACUUAAUUAGACCUUUAUGUCAUUUGUGAUGCAAGUUGAGAAAUAGUGGAAAUGAAUAGGAUGAUUCAAUCGAUCAAUCGUUUUUUAUGCUUAGAAUUAGACAAAAAACAUGUCGGCAAACACACUAUUUGAAUUUAUUGAUGUCGAGAGUUUUCGGUUUCAAAGCAUCACUGAUAGGCAAUGGAUUUUGGACGUAGUUCAGAUUCCUGGAUUCAAACAAAUUAACUCAUUCAAACAAAUUUAUUAAUGUGACACCCAAAUUCAAUUUAAAUUUAAAUGAAUAUGCAUGUGGAAAAUCAUGAAUAUAAAUAAAUAUUUAAUGUGAAAAUAAAGAAAUAAUCAUUUUAUUUAAAACACUUUACUCAUCAUAACAUCUUUAAGUAUAGACUAAAUUUAAAUAUUUGAUUCGCCUAUUCGACCUUCCACGCUCCUCCAACCUUUAAAAACCAGAAAAUGUUAAGUAUGAGAUGAGCAUACAGAGUACACUCAGUGUGGGAACAUGCAAUCAUUGUCCACGUUAAUAAAAUGGUAACACAUAUGAUCCAAUGUAACAUUCAUAAUUGAAAGUCGAACGGUGACAUACCAAGGAUCUUUAUCAUCCUGGACCAAUUAUGCUGGCCCUUGGCGACUAUGAUUGCAAUCAUAACUUUAACAUGUAUAUUGCAUUGCGGCAUACCAAGGAUCUUUACCAUCCUGGACCAAUUAUACUGGCCCAUAGCGAUAUUUAAUUUAACUCACAUAUGGUAAACACAGCAUGUAAUGAAAUAAAUCCCACACCUGAAACUUGAGCUUUGAAAAUUAACUUGAGUAAUUCAAAUCAAUGUCAACGUCUUAAUCGUGCCGCACCUAAUUCCAUAAAAUUAAAUAUAAUUUAAUAAUAACUAAAAAUAAUUACUACAUAAUUUAAUAAUAUAUGUAUAUGUAUAUAUAAUUUAAAACAAAAUAAAGAAGGUAAAUAUACCUUACUGUAUCCAAGCUUGCUCUUAAGUUGAUGGUC
rnacentral:lncRNA from 1 species